GACGAACGCUGGCGGCGUGCUUAACACAUGCAAGUCGAACGGAAAGGCCCUGCUUUUGUGGGGUGCUCGAGUGGCGAACGGGUGAGUAACACGUGAGUAACCUGCCCUUGACUUUGGGAUAACUUCAGGAAACUGGGGCUAAUACCGGAUAGGAGCUCCUGCUGCAUGGUGGGGGUUGGAAAGUUUCGGCGGUUGGGGAUGGACUCGCGGCUUAUCAGCUUGUUGGUGGGGUAGUGGCUUACCAAGGCUUUGACGGGUAGCCGGCCUGAGAGGGUGACCGGCCCCAUUGGGACUGGGAUACGGCCCAGACUCCUACGGGACGCAGCAGUGGGGAAUAUUGCACAAUGGGCGGAAGCCUGAUGCAGCAACGCCGCGUGCGGGAUGACGGCCUUCGGGUUGUAAACCGCUUUCGCCUGUGACGAAGCGUGAGUGACGGUAAUGGGUAAAGAAGCACCGGCUAACUACGUG
rnacentral:rRNA from 1 species